GUGGAGGAAAAAUCGGACUAUUUGAGGGGGCUGGGGUAGGUAAAACAGUACUCAUUAUGGAAUUGAUCAACAACAUUGCCAAAGCUCAUGGGGGCGUAUCCGUAUUUGGCAGAGUAGGUGAACGAACUCGUGAAGGAAAUGAUCUUUACAUGGAAAUGAAAGAAUCUGGAGUAAUUAAUGAACAAAAUCUUGCGGAAUCAAAAGUGGCUUUAGUCUACGGUCAGAUGAAUGAACCGCCAGGAGCUCGUAUGAGAGUUGGAUUGACUGCCCUAACUAUGGCGGAAUAUUUCUGAGAUGUUAAUGAACAAGACGUACUUCUAUUUAUAGACAAUAUCUUUCGUUUUGUCCGGAUCCGAAGUAUCUGCCUUAUUGGGUAGAAUGCCUUCCGCUGUGGGUUAUCAACCCACCCUUAGUACCGAAAUGGGUACUUUACAAGAAAGAAUUACUUCUACCAAUGAGGGAUCCAUAACUUCUAUUCAAGCAGUUUAUGUACCUACGGAUGAUUUGACCGACCCUGCCCCUGCCACAACAUUUGCGCAUUUAGAUGCUACUACCGUACUAUCAAGAGGAUUAGCUGCCAAAGGUAUUUAUCCAGCGGUAGAUCCUUUAGACUCAACGUCCACUAUGCUCCAACCUCGAAUCGUUGGUGAGGAACAUUAUGAAACUGCGCAAAGGGUUAACCAAACCUUACAGCGUUACAAAGAACUUCAGGACAUUAUAGCUAUCCUUGGGUUGGACGAAUUGUCCGAAGAGGAUCGCUUAACCGUAGCAAGAGCGCGAAAAAUUGAGUGUUUCUUAUCACAACCCUUUUUCGUAGCGGAAGUAUUUACCGGUUCCCCGGGGAAAUAUGUUGGUCUAGCAGAAACAAUUAGAGGAUUUAAAUUGAUCCUUUCCGGAGAAUUAGACGGUCUUCCUGAACAGGCCUUUUAUUUGGUAGGUAACAUCGACGAAGCUACUGCGAAGGCUACGAACUUAGAAAUGGAGAGCAAAUUGAAGAAAUGACCUUAAAUCUUUGCGUACUUACCCCUAAUCGAAUUGUUUGGGAUUCAGAAGUGAAAGAAAUCAUUUUAUCUACUAAUAGCGGACAAAUUGGCGUAUUACCAAAUCACGCGCCUAUUGCCACAGCUGUAGAUAUAGGUAUUUUGAGAAUACGCCUUAACGACCAAUGGUUAACGAUGGCUCUGAUGGGUGGUUUUGCUAGAAUAGGCAACAAUGAAAUCACUAUUUUAGUAAAUGAUGCGGAGAAGGGUAGUGACAUUGAUCCACAAGAAGCUCAGCAAGCUCUUGAAAUAGCGGAAGCUAACUUGAGGAAAGCUGAAGGCAAGAGGCAAACAAUUGAGGCAAAUCUAGCUCUCAGACGGGCUAGGACACGAGUCGAGGCUAUCAACGCGAUUUCGUAACGAGUUGGUUAAUCGAAAAAAUUUCCGUAGAAACAGAACUUUCGUUUAUACAUCCCAUUUUGAUUCUGCCGAUUAAAUAGAAUCAAAUACAAUCAAAAGUGAAAUCAGAUUUUGAUCUAAUGAAAAAUUUGAAAAUUGAAAACGGAAAUAGAAUAGGAUGAAAAAGAUAGAAAAUCAAUAAAAGAAGGUGGGUAGAAAAACUUAUUAGACACCGGGAUCGAUGGUAUCUAAUAAGUUCUACCUACUAUUGGAUUUGAACCAAUGACUCCCGCCGUAUGAAAGCAAUACUCUAACCGCUGAGUUAAGUAGGUUAUUUAUUAUCAUAAGGAAUCAUAAAGAGAAAGAAAAGGGACCUAUUACAUCGAUGGAUUACAAAUCCAACUUCUAAGCAAUACCAAUCAAACAGACCAAAAGGGUAUGAUUAUGAUGUUGGAUCAUGUAAUAGUCAUCUUGACAAGAAAUUAUCUACAUAAUAUGAUAAAAUAUGUAUCACAAACACAAGGGCUAUAGCUAAAUCUAUUACUUUCUUCGUUAUUUGUAACAGUUCUUUACUUGGAGGGUUGGAAUAUUUCCAUUCCGUACGUAUUCGUCCCUGAGCUAUUUGAAAUAAAUAAAAUAAAUGGAAUCAUUGGAAUGACAAUUGGUAUCUUUAUUACAUUAAGGGGAUCCUAUCAACUUGUUCCGACCUAGGAUAAUAAGCUCAUGGGCUUGGUCUUACUUCACCAUCGAGAAACGAAAGAAGGCUUCAUUAAUAGGCUCACGCUUCGACUUUGAUCGUUAUGGGCUGGUACCAAGAUCGAGUCCUAGACAGGCAGACCUAAUUUUAACAGCUGGAACAGUAACAAUGAAAAUGGCGCCCUCUUUAGUGAGAUUAUAUGAACAAAUGCCCGAACCUAAAUAUGUUAUUGCUAUGGGCGCGUGUACAAUUACAGGAGGGAUGUUCAGUACUGAUUCUUAUUGUACUAUUCGGGGGGUCGAUAAGCUAAUUCCCGUGGAUGUCUAUUUGCCGGGCUGUCCCCCUAAACCCGAGGCAGUUAUAGAUGCUAUAACAAAACUUUGUAAGAAAAUAUCUUGCGAAAUCUAUGAAGAUCAAAUUAGAUCUCAACAGGGGGAUCGGUGUUUUACUACCAAUCACAAGUUUUGUCUUGUACGUAGUGUACUGGAAAUUAUAAUCAAGGAUUGCUCUAUCAACCACCAUCAACUUUAGAGAUUCCUCCUGAAACAUUUUUCAACUACAAGGGUUCACUAUCUUCCCACAAAUUAGUGAAUUAGGUAGGAUUUUUUUUUACAGAAACAGACAAUGAAUUAAUCUUCAUAAAUUCGAUUUCAUCAUAAAUGCGAAAUAUUUAUCUUAGAAAAAUGACAAAUAAAAAAGAAAAGUGCGGGAGAGAUAAAAAGAUGCAGGGUCGUUUGUCUGUUUGGCUAGUCAAACACGGGCUAGUUCAUAGAUCUUUGGGCUUCGAUUACCAAGGAAUAGAGACUUUACAAAUAAAGCCUGAGGAUUGGCAUUCCAUUGCUGUUAUUUUAUAUGUAUAUGGUUACAAUUAUCUACGUUCCCAAUGUGCCUAUGAUGUAGCACUAGGCGGACUGUUAGCCAGUGUGUAUCAUCUUACGAGAAUAGAGUAUGGUGUAGAUCAACCGGAAGAGGUAUGUAUAAAAGUAUUUGCUCCAAGGAGUAACCCUAGAAUUCCGUCUGUUUUCUGGGUUUGGAAAAGUUCAGAUUUUCAAGAACGAGAAUCUUAUGACAUGUUGGGAAUCUCUUAUGAAAAUCAUCCACGGCUGAAACGUAUCUUAAUGCCCGAAAGUUGGAUAGGGUGGCCUUUACGUAAGGAUUACAUUGCCCCCAAUUUUUAUGAAAUACAAGACGCUCAUUGAAUGAUAAGAAACUAAUUACAACUUCGAAUAUUCAAGGAAUAUUUGUACAUUUUCUUCUAGCUCAAACAGAGGAAUUGAGGUUUCAUUCGUAUUCUUAUGGAUAGGCUAAUAAAUAAAAAGAAAUAAAAGACAAUACAUCAUUGAGAUUCUCGAUUUUUGAAGAGACUUUUUUAUUUAUUUUAUUUCGGACGAGCCGAGACAAUAGGAUGAACAACAAGGGUUCUAUACCGUGAACUUUGUAUCGCGCACAUCACUUAGAUGAACUCUAGAGAGUCGCAUAGAAGGGAAUGAAGAAAUGGAAUAUGAAAGAGAAUACAAAGAAAUAAAUGAAAGGGGAUCGGCUUCUAUUUGUACUGUAGUUGAGAUGAGUCUUGGUUAUUUCUAUCCUUGAACUCCUCUAGACCCGUCUUUUUGUUGGGCCUUUCAACCAACUAUUUUAAUCUUUUAAUUAAAUAUGUAUGAAGUAUUACCAUUCUUUUUGAAUGUGAGAAGCUGCAGUGCGAACAAAUAAAAAAGAAGAGGAAAGAUAAGCAAAUUUUGUCUUUUACUACAUUAUAAUAGACACAUUAGAAUAGACUCUUUGUUCAUUUUAAAAAGAGAAAAAAUACAAAAUAAAAUAAAUAAAGAGAGGGUUUACUCUCAGAUACCUAGCUAGAUAAGUAUGUAUUAUGUCGAUCCAUAUCAAUUAAUUUGUAGAGUAGAUACUCAUAAAAAUUAAUCAUAUGCCAGGAACUAGAUUUGAACUGGUGACACGAGGAUUUUCAGUCCUCUGCUCUACCAACUGAGCUAUCCCGACCAUUACCGAGGCAUUAUCCUCAUAAUACUAGAUGACUUGGGUCUAUGUCAAUUAAAAAUGAAAACAAAAAAAACGAAAAAGUAUUAAAUUAAAAGUCUCGAACAGGAAUUUCUUGGAUCUUCAAAAGGAAGACUUUGUAAAUUUCCAUAUGAGUAAUCAUAUGUAUUAUGAAUCAUUCAAAUCAAAUAGGUAUUCCUUGCUCAAGAGAUUUCUACGUAUAUCAUAUAUAUAUCACAAUAUAUCACACUAUAUCACAAGACUUGUGAUAAGAGAACAAAAUUCUGCUAUGCUAGGAUACGCUUGUAAAACGGCAAAGAAUAGGAUGAAUGAGAAACAUAAGGAACUUUGAACCACUAACAAAAAGGGUAGGAUAAAAUAAAUAGACAGCAAACGGGCUUUUUGGGGUUGGGGAUAGAGGGACUUGAACCCUCACGAUUUUUAAAGUCGACGGAUUUUCCUCUUACUAUAAAUUUCAUUGUUGUCGGUAUUGAUAUUGACAUGUAGAACGGGACUCUAUCUUUAUUCUCGUCCGAUUAAUCAGUUUUUCAAAAGAUUUAUCAGACUAUGGAGUGAAUGAUUUGAUUAAUGACUAUUCUAUUCGAUUCUUUCUUCAACUUGGAAUCAAUUCACAACAAUUCUUUUUAUUUUUCAUAUUUUCAUAUAAAUAUAAAUUGAUUUUGCAUAUAAUAGAAAUAAAAAAAAUACGGGUUCGGUUUGUCUUUUUUGAGAUAGUUUUUCAUUAGUAUACCUAUAAAAAAAUAGGUAUAUCUUGCAUCCUUUCUAGAGUUUCGAUAUUCGAUAUAAGGAUUCCUUUACCAACAGUCAACCCCAUUUGUUAGAAUAGCUUCCAUUGAGUCUCUGCACCUAUCCUUUCCUUUUUUUAUUAUUCUCGCUUGCUGAACCUUUGUUCAUGUUUAUUUUCGUAAUCCGUGUCAUGAUUUAUGAGCUAAUGGAAUGUUUCAUUUUUUUCGUAAUAGAAAAAAAUGGGUUGAAAUAUCUAUUGAUAUUCUACAAGAAGUAUUUUAUUGAAGGCUUAAGUUAUUACUCAACAAAUCAAAAUUGAAAUUAUGAACGGGCGAGAUCAAUUCAGAAGCACUUAUUUUUUAUUCUUCAGAAUAUAGCAGACAGAAUUCCAUUGGUAUAAUUUUGGACCUUCCAAUCUAUUUUUUCUCUAUCUAUUCUACAACCAUACGAAGAUAAAUAAUACUGAUUCGGUCCUAAAAUUUAUUUGUGACCCACGAGGAGCCGUAUGAGGUGAAAAUCUCAUGUACGGUUUUGGACUAGCGAUGUAAACAGUGAUGUUAUCAUCGACUAUAAUUAUCUAACAGUUCAAGUACAGUUGAUAUAGUUGAGGCGCAAUCAAAAUAUGGUUUUUGGGGAUGGAAUUUGUGGCGUCAACCAAUAGGGUUUAUCGUUUUUCUAAUUUCUUCUCUAGCAGAAUGUGAGAGAUUACCUUUUGAUUUACCAGAAGCGGAGGAAGAAUUAGUAGCAGGGUAUCAAACCGAAUAUUCAGGUAUCAAAUUUGGUUUAUUUUACGUUGCUUCCUAUCUAAAUCUAUUACUUUCUUCGUUAUUUGUAACAGUUCUUUACUUGGGGGGUUGGAAUAUUUCCAUUCCGUACGUAUUCGUCCCUGAGCUAUUUGAAAUAAAUAAAAUAAAUGGAAUCAUUGGAACGACAAUUGGUAUCUUUAUUACAUUAGCUAAAACUUAUUUGUUUUUGUUUAUUUCUAUCGCAACACGAUGGACUUUACCUAGGUUAAGAAUGGACCAAUUAUUAAAUCUCGGGUGGAAAUUUCUUUUACCCAUUUCUCUGGGUAAUCUAUUAUUAACAACUUCUUUCCAACUUCUUUCACUGUAAAGAAAAAAAGAAUAUGAGAUUCAUGACUUGGUUCAAACAAGAGAAAGAAACAAACAUCAAAUUAUUCAUAGAUAUUCACGAUAUGUUCCCUAUGGUAACUGGGUUCAUGAAUUAUGGCCACCAAACAGUCCGAGCAGCAAGGUACAUUGGUCAAGGUUUCAUGAUUACCUUACCCCACGCAAAUCGUUUACCCGUAACUAUUCAAUAUCCUUAUGAAAAAUUAAUCACAUCAGAGCGUUUCCGCGGACGAAUCCAUUUUGAAUUUGAUAAAUUCAUUGCUUGUGAAGUAUGUGUUCGUGUAUGCCCUAUAGAUCUACCCGUUGUUGAUUGGAACAAUCGGAAUAAAAAAAUGGAAUUGCACUAGGCAAUCAAAACACGAAAUUAGCAAAAAUUGGAAUAAAAAAAAGACACGAAAUUCUCAGAUAAAACCAUAGAAAUAGAAUAAGUGAAAAUUUGCAGACCGCCUCCUGUCUUAUUCAUUCCAUUGUUAUCCAUUUUUUUUUGUUUCAAUACAAUUACAAUAAAAAAACUUAUUGUAUCACAACAAAUUCAAAGAAAGAACCCAUUAUUUGAAUGAAGUGAAGUGCCAAACGAGGAUAAAUGGAUCUAUUUAUCUAUGAUUGAAUUAUAUUUGUUCGAUACACUGUUGUCAAUAUGAUUGUAAAUUUUGAAUAUAAAUGUUGAGAGUUGAGAAAAGAAUAAAGAAUAUAAAAAGGACUACAAAAAAUACAAUGAAAAAAAAGAAUUCAUUUUUUUUUAUUUUUUUAUUAAUUAUUAUUAAUAUUUUCUCUUUUUAUAUGUUAUAUGUUAUUUUAUCUGUUAUUUUAUCUUAUUUUAUGUUGUUUUGUAAAUGUUUAAAUGCAAUUACUUCAUUUAUUCACUUGAUCUUUUUUCUCUCUAUUUUUUAUCAAUAAAAUUGGCUCAAUAAAAUCGGGUUUUGUUGUUAUAGAACACGGUAUUCUAGAUUUUAUAGUAGCAAUAUUCUAUAGUAGCAAAGCAAUAAGAAAUACGAAUAAUAAAUUUUUUUAAAAUAAAAGUCUGAAUAGACCAAAAGAGGGGGGAGGAAAUAAUAAAGAAAAAUUUAUACAAAGCUAGAUAUGAAUCAUCCACACCCUCUUUUUUGGAUUUCAUUAAUUGAAUUUUGUUUGAUUAAGACUAAGUUCUGUAAAAACACCUGCCUUCUUUAAAAUAUCAUGAACAGUUGCUGUGGGUUGAGCUCCUUUUUCAAGGAAAUAGAGAAUGGCGGGAACAUUUAAAUAGGUUUGAUUAUUUAUCGGAUCAUAAAAACCCACUUUUUGAAGAUCUCUUCCCUCUCUUCAGGAUCGAACAUCAAUUGCAACGAUUCGAUAAACGGCUCAUUGGGAUAGAUGUAGUUAAAUAAUACCUCCCUAGAAACGUAUAAGAAGUUUUCUCCUCGUACGGCUCGAGAAAAAAAUUAUUAAUUAAAAGUUAUGUCUAUGUAUGGAAUUAGAAUGUAUGGAAUUAGAAUGUCAAAAAGAUCCAUAAACCAGCAAAUCAAUUAGACAUUUAACCCCGUCUUUUUUUUUCAAAAAAGAAGAAGAAAAAAGCAUUCGUACUCUCAUAACUCAAGUCAAAUAACUCGCAAAAUGCUCAAAAAAUAAUCCUUAGGCAUUCCUUUAUUGAGUGGUCUCUAACCCCUUUUUUGUUUGUCUCGCUUAGAAUCUAUUUCGAUUCUUCAUUUUAAUCUAGUUGUUGAGAAAAUGGAAAAGGGUAUUUCCUUGUUCUAGGAUCUUUUCUCUUUGCCUUGAAUCAUUGGGUUUAGACAUUCCUUCGGCGAUAUUUAAUCAUUUCCAAAAUGGCAGCAACAUGCCCUUUUUUCACUCUUUUUUUUUCUAUCAAAGAAUCAUAUGAAUGAUUAAUUCCCGCAUGAUACACUUUUGAUCGAAAAAGUUUUACCAAUUCCAACAACUUUUCUUUUUGAUUUGAAAAUAGUUGGAAUCGGAUCCUUUUGAUUUCUAUAUCACAAAUAGACUUACGAAGUUGUUCUAACUUAUUGAUUUCCAUUAACUAACCCUAGAUUCUUGCCCCUAAAAAAUGGAUGUUUCUCUUCGAGCUCCAUCCUGUACUAUUUACAUUACAACCCAACAAAAAGACGGAUUAUAAUAGAACAAAGGAUGUCGAGCAAAAAGCACCUUCAUUUCUACAUAACGGAAAGUGGUGGGUUUUGACAUCCACAGCUGAUCAUGUCCUUCAAGUCGCACGUUGCUUUCUACCACAUCGUUUCAAACGAAGUUUUACCAUAACAUUCCUCUAGUUUGGAGCAUUGAUUCAAUUAUCGAAUCAUGAAUAGUCAGUGGUUCAGUCGAUACAUAGUAAUCUAUCUAUACUUUCUAUAUGAAAUCAAUUUCCUUCUAUAUGCUAUAUGAAAUAAAUAAAUAAUUUAGGAAGAAAAAGCCUUAAUAAGAAUUCAAACUACCCCAUAUUGUAUGAUUGUCUGAAUGCAAUAUUUUUUUUAUUUUUUUAAACUUUUAUUAUACUUUUCUAUUCUAAUUAAACUUUUCUAUUCUAAUUAAAAAAAUAAAUAAAGAAUAUCAUUAAUAAUAAUAUUACAAAAAUACUAAUAAUAUCACGAAUAUUAUAAAUAACACAAAUAAACUAAUCUUUUUGAAUCUACCGUGCAUCUUCAAAUAACCCGAUAGAUCAAAUAACUCGGUAGAAUAGAUCCAACAAUCUCACAGUUGUUCGAGUGCCAAUCUUAAGAAAUCAUUAAAAAUCUUUUUUGAAUCUCUAUACGUGCAAUUCCCUCGACACCAGAAGAUAGUCUCAUAUUUUUUUGUACAUAAUUCUUGAUACAGUCUCUUAUUUUUUUUAUCUUCUUGUAGACCCUCGGAAUACUUUUUCGGUUGUGCAAACCAAAGAGAAUGAUGACUUUGGGUUCUACCAAGUCUGAAACCAAGUGGAUUUAUUUUUUGUCCCAUAAUCCUCCACUACUAUAUAUUAGGAUAUGUCAUAUUUGUGCUCUUAUUUAUCCCUUUUUUAGCCAUCCUAGCCAUCCGGUGUUUUUUGGUUUUGGGCGCAGCAUAUAUCUGUCAAGUGGUUCAAAUUCAAGAUCUUUCAAUGCAAUAGUUAUAUGACAAGUGGGUCUUUUUAUCAGAUAACUCCGUCCUCGAGCUCGAGGUUUUAGUCUUUUCAGAGUAGUUCCCUCAUUUACUGCGACUUGACUAAUGAUUAAACUCGCUUCAUUGAAACCCCUAUUAUGACGAGCAUUUGCUGCUGUAGAAUAAACCAAUUUUAAAAUGGGAUAACAUGCUCGAUAAGGCAUGAGUUCUAGUAUCGUAAGUGUUUCUUCGUAGGAACGUCCACGAAUCUGAUCAAUUAUACUUCGUGCUUUGUGAGCAGACAUACAUAUAUGUUGACCUAAAGCGUAUACUUCGUCUGAAGUUGUAUAUGGGUUCCUCCUGUGUUUCUUUAUCUUUAUCAUAAAGUUUACCUCUCACUAAUGAAUUCAUUAAUUAAUCUCUAUUUUUUUAUUAUAAUAAAUUAUAAUAAUAUUAACGAUGAGAUUUAUUAUCAUUUUUUGCGUGUCCGCGAAAAUUUAUAGUAGGUGCGAAUUCUCCCAAUUUAUGUCCUACCAUACGAUCCGUUAUAUAAAUGGGCAAAUGUUCUUUUCCAUUAUGGAUAGCGAUAGUAUGGCCGAUCAUUGUGGGUAUAAUGGUAGAUGCUCUGGACCAAGUUAUUAUUAUUUCUUUUUCCGCUUUUGUAUUAAGCCUUUCGAUUUUUUUUUAAUAAAUGAUUUGCUACAAAAGGAUUUUUUUUAGUGAACGCGCCAUUUUUUUUACUUUAAAAAUAUAUAUUUUUUGUUUUUGUAAAGACGAAGAAAGAAAUAAUCUCUCCUAUUUACUCUGUCGACGAAGAAUCAAAUUAUCACUAUAUUUAUUCCUUUUUCUACUUCUUCCAAGUGCAGGAUAACCCCAAGGGGUUGCGGGUUUUUUUCUACCAAUUGGAGCCCUCCCUUCACCACCCCCAUGGGGAUGGUCUACAGGGUUCAUAACUACUCCUCUUACUACAGGACGCUUACCUAGCCAACAUUUAGAUCCGGCUCUACCCAAAC
rnacentral:lncRNA from 1 species